AUGUAUCAAGAUAGUAGGAGUGAUAGGCGGAAGGAUAACCUGGAGAGUUCACUCACUAUUCACAAUUUGACAGAAGAAAAAAAUAAACUGGAGGCCAACUAUGACAAAUUAGUUGAAGAUGUUCAUCAACUUUUGAAUGCCCAAGAGGAUAGGGUGCUGGAUUUUAGAUAUUUGCAGUCUAAGAUGGAGAGUGCAGAGGAGAGGAAAGCUGAGGUGACCAACUCAGUUGUCUCAGAUAUGAAGACUGGGAUGGAGAAGAAAGAUGCAGAGAUAUUCAAGCUGCAAGGGAAGUAUGAAGUCCUCGUGAACCUGACAAAAGCCCAAGGCACUGUCAUCAGGAACAUGAAGUUCAACCAUUUGAAAGAGAAGGAAGUGCAUAGUGCAGCCAUGAGGAACUUGCAGUUCCAGGUUGAAGAACUAACUAAGUCUAUGGAGAAGCUCAAGCAAGAGAAUCUGAAGCUGAUGCAGGUUGAUGAAGUCACUAAGUCUCAGGAAGAGCUCACCCAAGAGAAUCUGAAGCUGAAGGAUCACAUUGGUGAUCUGAAAAAGGGACAUGACAAGCUCACUAAAGACAGGGCUCAGCUCAAGCUUCAGAUUGCUGAUAUGUUGAAGGCAGAGGAGAAGAACAAGCAGAAGAUGAAGGGGAUCUAG
rnacentral:rRNA from 1 species